AUGAGUACACUUUAAAUCCUUUAACAAGGAUCCAUUGGAGGGCAAGUCUGGUGCCAGCAGCCGCGGUAAUUCCAGCUCCAAUAGCGUAUAUUAAAGUUGUUGCGGUUAAAAAGCUCGUAGUUGGUUCUGCGUGCCGCGCUGUCGGUUCGCCGCCUGUCGGUGUAACUGGCAUGUCACGGCAUGUCCUGUCGGUGGUGAACGAAGAUCCUCGAUCAAGCUAGGCUUAAUUGCCCAAGUUUGUUUCGUGGUAUUUUCGUUUGCCGAUUUCUCCUACUUCGGUGCUCUUAAACGAGUGUCGAGGUAGGCCGACACGUUCACUUUGAACAAAUUAGAGUGCUUAAAGCAGGCUGAAAUAUCUGCCUGAAUAGUGGUGCAUGGAAUGAUAAAAUAGGACCUCAGUUCUAUUUUAUUGGUUUUAGGAAUAUGAGGUAAUGAUCAAUGUGGACAGGCGGGGGCAUUCGUAUUGCGACGUUAGAGGUGAAAUUCUUGGAUCGUCGCAAGACGCACUAGAGCGAAAGCAUUUGCCAAGUAUGUCUUAAUUGAUCAAGAACGAAAGUUAGAGGUUCGAAGGCGAUCAGAUACCGCCCUAGUUCUAACCAUAAACGAUGCCAGCCAGCGAUCCGCCGAUGUUCCUUUAAUGACUCGGCGGGGAGCUUCUAUCCGGGAAACCAAAGCUUUUGGGUUCCGGGGGAAGUAUGGUUGCAAAGCUGAAACU
rnacentral:rRNA from 1 species